CAGGCCUAACACAUGCAAGUCGAACGCCCCGCAAGGGGAGUGGCAGACGGGUGAGUAACACGUGGGAACGUGCCCUACGGUUCGGAAUAACUCUGGGAAACUAGAGCUAAUACCGGAUACGUGCGAGAGCAGAAAGAUUUAUCGCCGUAGGAUCGGCCCGCGUCUGAUUAGCUAGUUGGUGAGGUAACGGCUCACCAAGGCGACGAUCAGUAGCUGGUCUGAGAGGAUGAUCAGCCACACUGGGACUGAGACACGGCCCAGACUCCUACGGGAGGCAGCAGUGGGGAAUAUUGGACAAUGGGCGAAAGCCUGAUCCAGCCAUGCCGCGUGAGUGAUGACGGCCUUAGGGUUGUAAAGCUCUUUUACCCGGGAAGAUAAUGACGGUAUCGGGAGAAUAAGCCCCGGCUAACUUGGUGCCAGCAGCCGCGGUAAU
rnacentral:rRNA from 1 species